AUGAGGUGCCACAAGGCAUGGAGGAACAAGAAGGUGAAAGGUGCUGCGCCUGUCGUUCCGGAACGAAAAAGAGGAAUCAUUCUCAAGACGGGAUGCCCUGUCCGGUGUAAGCUAAACGUAGAUGGAACACAGUAUGUGGUCACUGAAUAUUUUGACGAGCACAACCACAGUCUCAUAAAGAAGUUCGACCUGGUCAAAUUUCUGACCGCCCACAGAGGAUUCACCCCAGUCGAAAGACAAUUCGUAAAGCUGCUACAUGACUGUAACGUCGGUCCAUCAAGAAUGGUCCAGAUACUAUCACUCAUCCACAGCAAAAAGGGGAAACUGAGUAGCAUGCCCUACAUACCGGCUGACGUCACAAACCUAUAGGCCAAGUACCGUAGAGAGAGCAGGCUGGCUGACAUAGAGGCUACAAUUGCCUACUUCGAUGAGAAAGCAAAGGAAGAUCCAGAUUUCUUCUACAGGAUAAGGUUGGACGAUGAGGACCGUGUCAGGAACAUGUAUUGGGUGGAUGGUGCUGCAAGGAGAGCCUACAAACAUUUCCGAGAUUGCAUUUCGUUCGACGUGACGUACCUCACCAAUAUGUACAAGAUGCCAUGCGCUUCGUUCAUAGGAAUAAAUAACCACAAUCAGUCGUUGCAGUUCGGCUGCGGGCUCGUUCGGAACGAAGACACAGAUGGGUACGUCUGGUUGUUCAAGACCUUCUUGGAGUGCAUGGAUGGACUUGCUCCGAUGAACAUAAUAACAGACCAGGAUUUUAGCAUGCGUGCAGGCAUAGAGGAGGUCUUUCCGUUGGCAGUGCAUAGGCACUACAGGUGGCACAUAAUAAAGAAGGCUGAGGAGACCCUAGAGUUUGAGAGGAGCUGGAUGGCCAUGGUUGAAACGCAUCAAGUCCAAGACAAUGAGACGCUUGCUAGUCUGUGGGAGAAGCGAAUGUACUGGGUGCCCGCCUACUUCAUGCAGUGCUUCUUCCCUUUUCUACAGACUACGCAGCGCAGCGAGGGGUUCAAUGUUGUGUUGAAGCGAUACAUGAGCCCUGGCAACUCAUUGCUACAGUUUGCCAAGCAGUACACAGCUCUGCAACAAAAAAUUCUAGGAUCUGAGCUCCAGCAAGAAGCUACCACCGCGCUAAAGCAGCCGAAAUUGCUAACGUACUUACCAAUGGAGAGGCAAAUGAGCAAGAUAUACACAAACAAGAUCUUUAACAAUGGGGCAUACAAAGGAAGGAACUACUUCGUGAAAGCCUCGAUAAGCGAAGGCGAGUACUACUGCCAAUGCUGCAAGUUCGAACUGGACGGCAUUGUGUGUUGUCACAUACUAAAAGUGAUGGACAUGAACGCUGUGACACGGAUACCCCGCCAUUUCAUAAGGUGGCGAUGGACUUGGGACGCUGACGACGCGCUGGCACCGCAGACAACACACGCGGUUCUGGCUGUGCAUGACGAGAGACCUGAGUCAACCAUGGAAGCCGUGAGGCACGUAGUGCUGACAAAGAACUAUGCUGAGCUAAUUGAUGAAGCGUGCAAAAAGUGA
rnacentral:rRNA from 1 species